GAGGGUUGCUGGAGGUAUCAGAAGUGCGAAUGCUGACAUAAGUAACGAUAAAGCGGGUGAAAAGCCCGCUCGCCGGAAGACCAAGGGUUCCUGUCCAACGUUAAUCGGGGCAGGGUGAGUCGACCCCUAAGGCGAGGCCGAAAGGCGUAGUCGAUGGGAAACGGGUUAAUAUUCCCGUACUUGGUGUUACUGCGAAGGGGGGACGGAGAAGGCUAUGUUGGCCGGGCGACGGUUGUCCCGGUUUAAGCGUGUAGGUGUGUGUUCCAGGUAAAUCCGGUU
rnacentral:rRNA from 1 species